rnacentral:rRNA from 1 species
CUGCCCACUGAAAUUUUAAAUGGCCGUGGUAUUUUGACCGUGCUAAGGUAGCAUAAUCAUUAGUUUUUUAAUUAAAAACUGGAAUGAAAGGUUGGAUGAGAAAAUAGCUGUCUCUAUUAAAUUUAAUUAGAAUUUUAUUUUUAAGUUAAAAAGCUUAAUUAUUAUUAAAAGACGAGAAGACCCUAUAGAGUUUAAUUAUUUAGUAAAAAUUAUAUUUUAGUAUUAAUUUAUUUAUUUUAUUAAAUAAUUUAAUUGGGGUGAUUGAAAAAUUUAAUUAACUUUUUUUAUUUAAGAACAUUAAUUUAUGAAUAAAUGAUCCAAUAUUUUUGAUUAUAAGAUAAAAUUACCUUAGGGAUAACAGCGUAAUUUUUUUAGAAAGUUCAUAUUAAAAAAAAAGAUUGCGACCUCGAUGUUGGAUUAAAAUAAAUUUUUGGUGUAGAAGCUAAAAUAUUAGGUCUGUUCGACCUUUAAAAUUUUACAUGAU